rnacentral:snRNA from 1 species
CGGACCGCCUUGAAUUAUAAUUA